rnacentral:rRNA from 1 species
AGCGUACACGGUGGAUGCCCUGGCAGUCAGAGGCGAUGAAGGACGUGCUAAUCUGCGAUAAGCGUCGGUAAGGUGAUAUGAACCGUUAUAACCGGCGAUUUCCGAAUGGGGAAACCCAGUGUGUUUCGACACACUAUCAUUAACUGAAUCCAUAGGUUAAUGAGGCGAACCGGGGGAACUGAAACAUCUAAGUACCCCGAGGAAAAGAAAUCAACCGAGAUUCCCCCAGUAGCGGCGAGCGAACGGGGAGCAGCCCAGAGCCUGAAUCAGUGUGUGUGUUAGUGGAAGCGUCUGGAAAGGCGCGCGAUACAGGGUGACAGCCCCGUACACAAAAAUGCACAUGCUGUGAGCUCGAUGAGUAGGGCGGGACACGUGGUAUCCUGUCUGAAUAUGGGGGGACCAUCCUCCAAGGCUAAAUACUCCUGACUGACCGAUAGUGAACCAGUACCGUGAGGGAAAGGCGAAAAGAACCCCGGCGAGGGGAGUGAAAAAGAACCUGAAACCGUGUACGUACAAGCAGUGGGAGCACGCUUAGGCGUGUGACUGCGUACCUUUUGUAUAAUGGGUCAGCGACUUAUAUUCUGUAGCAAGGUUAACCGAAUAGGGGAGCCGAAGGGAAACCGAGUCUUAACUGGGCGUUAAGUUGCAGGGUAUAGACCCGAAACCCGGUGAUCUAGCCAUGGGCAGGUUGAAGGUUGGGUAACACUAACUGGAGGACCGAACCGACUAAUGUUGAAAAAUUAGCGGAUGACUUGUGGCUGGGGGUGAAAGGCCAAUCAAACCGGGAGAUAGCUGGUUCUCCCCGAAAGCUAUUUAGGUAGCGCCUCGUGAAUUCAUCUCCGGGGGUAGAGCACUGUUUCGGCAAGGGGGUCAUCCCGACUUACCAACCCGAUGCAAACUGCGAAUACCGGAGAAUGUUAUCACGGGAGACACACGGCGGGUGCUAACGUCCGUCGUGAAGAGGGAAACAACCCAGACCGCCAGCUAAGGUCCCAAAGUCAUGGUUAAGUGGGAAACGAUGUGGGAAGGCCCAGACAGCCAGGAUGUUGGCUUAGAAGCAGCCAUCAUUUAAAGAAAGCGUAAUAGCUCACUGGUCGAGUCGGCCUGCGCGGAAGAUGUAACGGGGCUAAACCAUGCACCGAAGCUGCGGCAGCGACGCUGAUGCGUUGUUGGGUAGGGGAGCGUUCUGUAAGCCUGCGAAGGUGUGCUGUGAGGCAUGCUGGAGGUAUCAGAAGUGCGAAUGCUGACAUAAGUAACGAUAAAGCGGGUGAAAAGCCCGCUCGCCGGAAGACCAAGGGUUCCUGUCCAACGUUAAUCGGGGCAGGGUGAGUCGACCCCUAAGGCGAGGCCGAAAGGCGUAGUCGAUGGGAAACAGGUUAAUAUUCCUGUACUUGGUGUUACUGCGAAGGGGGGACGGAGAAGGCUAUGUUGGCCGGGCGACGGUUGUCCCGGUUUAAGCGUGUAGGCUGGUUUUCCAGGCAAAUCCGGAAAAUCAAGGCUGAGGCGUGAUGACGAGGCACUACGGUGCUGAAGCAACAAAUGCCCUGCUUCCAGGAAAAGCCUCUAAGCAUCAGGUAACAUCAAAUCGUACCCCAAACCGACACAGGUGGUCAGGUAGAGAAUACCAAGGCGCUUGAGAGAACUCGGGUGAAGGAACUAGGCAAAAUGGUGCCGUAACUUCGGGAGAAGGCACGCUGAUAUGUAGGUGAAGCGACUUGCUCGUGGAGCUGAAAUCAGUCGAAGAUACCAGCUGGCUGCAACUGUUUAUUAAAAACACAGCACUGUGCAAACACGAAAGUGGACGUAUACGGUGUGACGCCUGCCCGGUGCCGGAAGGUUAAUUGAUGGGGUUAGCCGCAAGGCGAAGCUCUUGAUCGAAGCCCCGGUAAACGGCGGCCGUAACUAUAACGGUCCUAAGGUAGCGAAAUUCCUUGUCGGGUAAGUUCCGACCUGCACGAAUGGCGUAAUGAUGGCCAGGCUGUCUCCACCCGAGACUCAGUGAAAUUGAACUCGCUGUGAAGAUGCAGUGUACCCGCGGCAAGACGGAAAGACCCCGUGAACCUUUACUAUAGCUUGACACUGAACAUUGAGCCUUGAUGUGUAGGAUAGGUGGGAGGCUUUGAAGUGUGGACGCCAGUCUGCAUGGAGCCGACCUUGAAAUACCACCCUUUAAUGUUUGAUGUUCUAACGUUGACCCGUAAUCCGGGUUGCGGACAGUGUCUGGUGGGUAGUUUGACUGGGGCGGUCUCCUCCUAAAGAGUAACGGAGGAGCACGAAGGUUGGCUAAUCCUGGUCGGACAUCAGGAGGUUAGUGCAAUGGCAUAAGCCAGCUUGACUGCGAGCGUGACGGCGCGAGCAGGUGCGAAAGCAGGUCAUAGUGAUCCGGUGGUUCUGAAUGGAAGGGCCAUCGCUCAACGGAUAAAAGGUACUCCGGGGAUAACAGGCUGAUACCGCCCAAGAGUUCAUAUCGACGGCGGUGUUUGGCACCUCGAUGUCGGCUCAUCACAUCCUGGGGCUGAAGUAGGUCCCAAGGGUAUGGCUGUUCGCCAUUUAAAGUGGUACGCGAGCUGGGUUUAGAACGUCGUGAGACAGUUCGGUCCCUAUCUGCCGUGGGCGCUGGAGAACUGAGGGGGGCUGCUCCUAGUACGAGAGGACCGGAGUGGACGCAUCACUGGUGUUCGGGUUGUCAUGCCAAUGGCACUGCCCGGUAGCUAAAUGCGGAAGAGAUAAGUGCUGAAAGCAUCUAAGCACGAAACUUGCCCCGAGAUGAGUUCUCCCUGACUCCUUGA